rnacentral:rRNA from 1 species
CCAAGGAGUCUAACAUGUGCGCGAGUCUUCGGGUCGUCCGAAACUCGACGAAACCUGAAAGGCGCAAUGAAAGUGAAGGUCGGGCCGUCCCCCGCUCUCGGGCGGGGGCGGUCGACCGAGGCGGGAUCCGAAGGGCGUCCGUUUUUCCCGUUCCUCCUCGACCCCUCCCGGUUUGCCCCUCGCGGGUUUUGCUGGGUGGGGCGGAGGUUUCGGGGCGGCGCCGACGAAUCGGAAACGAAAAGCCGGGUCGGGGAAAUAUCCUCUCCUUCCCGCGGCGUCCUCUCCGGAGGCGUCGCGGGGUCGAGAAACUCCACUUCGCGGUGGAGCGGAAAACAAAACGAACGAGACCCCGCAACCCGGUCGGCGCACCGCCGGCCCGUCUCUACCGCUCAACGUCGGUGAGGCGGAGCAAGAGCGUACACGUUGGGACCCGAAAGAUGGUGAACUAUGCUCGGGCAGGACGAAGCCAGAGGAAACUCUGGUGGAGGUCCGUAGCGAUUCUGACGUGCAAAUCGAUCGUCGGACCUGAGUAUAGGGGCGAAAGACUAAUCGAACCGUCUA